AACCCUGAGACUUCUCAGACAACAGCCUUUUAAAUUUUCCAUUCAACUAAAUUUUUGUGGUCUGUUGUUUAUGGAGGACUUAUGGUGAAAUCAUAUGACAGAUAUUGGCUGAGAAAUGCUGGUCACAAGAAGAGGUUAUGGACAAAUAAAUGUAUAAAGAAAACAAAAAAUGCACUUAAGAGAAAAAUGUUUUGCAAUAAAGCACAAAAACAAAACAAAAUCAAGCAGAAUUGAAAAGUGUGGUGCACUACAGAGGAAGAGAUGCAGCAUCAAAGAAAGGUUACCUGAGUCUCAUAAACAUCUCUUGUCAACAAUUAUGACCCUUUUUUGUGAUCUCGGUGCUAUGAUCUCUGUUUAAUGGAUGCACUUGACAGUAGUAAUCCUUUACAAGUACUUUAAAAGCAGACAUAAGUAAAACACUCCAGACCACAUCCAUGGUUAAUAAUUAAUGUUUAUUCAUUAUUGGCAAGCAUUGAUUAUAGGCUUAAAAGGAAGUUCCUUGCAAUAUUGAUCUUGGGUGUUUUUGACUUGCUGUGUAGACAACUCAAAGCAACACACACUUAAUGGAAGUCUGUCACAGUGCUUAAAAAAUUAAGUAGUCAUUAAAGGCAAAUGGUGCCGAGGUAGUCCUUGACAGUUAUUAAGAAAGACAUGGAGUGUCCUUGAAGAAAUUUAAAAAUAAAAUUGAU